GACGAACGCUGGCGGCGUGCUUAACACAUGCAAGUCACGGGGGCCCGCAAGGGUAACCGGCGAACGGGUGCGUAACACGUGAGCAAUCUGCCGUCCACUGGGGGAUAGCCGGCCCAACGGCCGGGUAAUACCGCAUACGCUUGCCGGGUGGCAUCACUCGGCAAGGAAACCUCCGGGGGUGGACGAGGAGCUCGCGGCCUAUCAGCUAGUUGGUGGGGUCACGGCCCACCAAGGCGAUGACGGGUAGCUGGUCUGAGAGGAUGGCCAGCCACAUUGGGACUGAGAUACGGCCCAGACUCCUACGGGAGGCAGCAGUGGGGAAUAUUGCGCAAUGGCCGCAAGGCUGACGCAGCGACGCCGCGUGGGGGAUGAAGCAUUUCGGUGUGUAAACCCCUGUUGCCCGGGACGAACCUCUCCUUUCGAGGAGACUGACGGUACCGGGUGAGGAAGCACCGGCUAACUCCGUGCCAGCAGCCGCAGUAAGAC
rnacentral:rRNA from 1 species